GAUGAACGCUGGCGGCGUGCCUAAUACAUGCAAGUCGAGCGAACAGACGAGGAGCUUGCUCCUCUGACGUUAGCGGCGGACGGGUGAGUAACACGUGGAUAACCUCCCUAUAAGACUGGGAUAACUUCGGGAAACCGGAGCUAAUACCGGAUAAUCUAUUGAACCGCAUGGUUCAAUAGUGAAAGACGGUUUUGUUGUCACUUAUAGAUGGAUCCGCGCCGCAUUAGCUAGUUAGUAAGGUAACGGCUUACCAAGGCAACGAGUCGUAGCCGACCUGAAAGAGGGAUCGGCCACACUGGAACGUGAACUCGGUCCAGACGCCUACGGGAGGCAGCAGUAGGGAAUCUUCCGCAAUGGGCGAAAGCCUAACGUAGCAACGCCGCGUGAGAGAUGAAGGUCUUCGGAUCGGAAAACUCUGUUAUGAGGUAAGAACAAAUGUGGAAGUAACUAUGCACGUCUUGACGGUACCUAGUCAGAAAGCCACGGCUAACUACGUG
rnacentral:rRNA from 1 species